rnacentral:rRNA from 1 species
UACGUAGGGUGCGAGCGUUAAUCGGAAUUACUGGGCGUAAAGCGUGCGCAGGCGGUUUGUUAAGUCUGAUGUGAAAGCCCCGGGCUCAACCUGGGAACUGCAAUCCGUGUCGACUGCAUAGCUAGAGUACGGUAGAGGGGGAUGGAAUUCCGCGUGUAGGCAGUGAAAUGCGUAGAUAUCAAGGAGGAAUACCGGUGGCGAAAGCGACUCGUCUGGAACGGCAACUGACGCUGAGGCACGGAAAGCGUGGGGAGCAAACAAGA